UACGAAGGGGGCUAGCGUUGCUCGGAAUUACUGGGCGUAAAGGGCGCGUAGGCGGACAGUUUAGUCAGAGGUGAAAGCCCAGGGCUCAACCUUGGAAUUGCCUUUGAUACUGGUGAGCUUGAGUCCGGAAGAGGUGAGUGGAACUGCGAGUGUAGAGGUGAAAUUCGUAGAUAUUCGCAAGAACACCAGUGGCGAAAGCGGCAUGCUGGACCUUCACUGACGCUGAGGAGCGAAAGCCAGGGGAGCAAACGGG
rnacentral:rRNA from 1 species